CAGAAGAUAGUUUAAGGAGAAUUGCAGCUUUGGGAGUUGCAGGCGUAAGUGUGACUCUUACUCCUCUGA
rnacentral:tRNA from 1 species